rnacentral:rRNA from 1 species
GGGCGUUAAGUUGCAGGGUAUAGACCCGAAACCCGGUGAUCUAGCCAUGGGCAGGUUGAAGGUUGGGUAACACUAACUGGAGGACCGAACCGACUAAUGUUGAAAAAUUAGCGGAUGACCUGUGGCUGGGGGUGAAAGGCCAAUCAAACCGGGAGAUAGCUGGUUCUCCCCGAAAGCUAUUUAGGUAGCGCCUCGUGAACUCAUCUCCGGGGGUAGAGCACUGUUUCGGCUAGGGGGCCAUCCCGGCUUACCAACCCGAUGCAAACUGCGAAUACCGGAGAAUGUUAUCACGGGAGACACACGGCGGGUGCUAACGUCCGUCGUGAAGAGGGAAACAACCCAGACCGCCAGCUAAGGUCCCAAAGUCAUGGUUAAGUGGGAAACGAUGUGGGAAGGCCCAGACAGCCAGGAUGUUGGCUUAGAAGCAGCCAUCAUUUAAAGAAAGCGUAAUAGCUCACUGGUCGAGUCGGCCUGCGCGGAAGAUGUAACGGGGCUAAACCAUGCACCGAAGCUGCGGCAGCGAACGUAUCACUUAAAACGAUUCAGAAGCUUACGAUUGACGGAGCGAAGCGACGUCAAAGCGUAUACAAAGUCGAGUCGGUUUAAGGAUACGUUCGUUGGGUAGGGGAGCGUUCUGUAAGCCGUUGAAGGUGUCCUGUGAGGGGUGCUGGAGGUAUCAGAAGUGCGAAUGCUGACAUAAGUAACGAUAAAGCGGGUGAAAAGCCCGCUCGCCGGAAGACCAAGGGUUCCUGUCCAACGUUAAUCGGGGCAGGGUGAGUCGACCCCUAAGGCGAGGCCGAAAGGCGUAGUCGAUGGGAAACGGGUUAAUAUUCCCGUACUUGGUGUUACUGCGAAGGGGGGACGGAGAAGGCUAUGUUGGCCGGGCGACGGUUGUCCCGGUUUAAGCGUGUAGGUGUGUGUUCCAGGUAAAUCCGGUUCACUUUAACACUGAGGCGUGAUGACGAGGCACCACGGUGCUGAAGCAACAAAUGCCCUGCUUCCAGGAAAAGCCUCUAAGCAUCAGGUAACAUCAAAUCGUACCCCAAACCGACACAGGUGGUCAGGUAGAGAAUACCAAGGCGCUUGAGAGAACUCGGGUGAAGGAACUAGGCAAAAUGGUGCCGUAACUUCGGGAGAAGGCACGCUGACACGUAGGUGAAGUGAUUUACUCACGGAGCUGAAGUCAGUCGAAGAUACCAGCUGGCUGCAACUGUUUAUUAAAAACACAGCACUGUGCAAACACGAAAGUGGACGUAUACGGUGUGACGCCUGCCCGGUGCCGGAAGGUUAAUUGAUGGGGUCAGCGCAAGCGAAGCUCCUGAUCGAAGCCCCGGUAAACGGCGGCCGUAACUAUAACGGUCCUAAGGUAGCGAAAUUCCUUGUCGGGUAAGUUCCGACCUGCACGAAUGGCGUAAUGAUGGCCAGGCUGUCUCCACCCGAGACUCAGUGAAAUUGAACUCGCUGUGAAGAUGCAGUGUACCCGCGGCAAGACGGAAAGACCCCGUGAACCUUUACUAUAGCUUGACACUGAACAUUGAGCCUUGAUGUGUAGGAUAGGUGGGAGGCUUUGAAGCGUGGACGCCAGUCUGCGUGGAGCCGACCUUGAAAUACCACCCUUUAAUGUUUGAUGUUCUAACGUGGACCCGUAAUCCGGGUUGCGGACAGUGUCUGGUGGGUAGUUUGACUGGGGCGGUCUCCUCCUAAAGAGUAACGGAGGAGCACGAAGGUUGGCUAAUCCUGGUCGGACAUCAGGAGGUUAGUGCAAUGGCAUAAGCCAGCUUGACUGCGAGCGUGACGGCGCGAGCAGGUGCGAAAGCAGGUCAUAGUGAUCCGGUGGUUCUGAAUGGAAGGGCCAUCGCUCAACGGAUAAAAGGUACUCCGGGGAUAACAGGCUGAUACCGCCCAAGAGUUCAUAUCGACGGCGGUGUUUGGCACCUCGAUGUCGGCUCAUCACAUCCUGGGGCUGAAGUAGGUCCCAAGGGUAUGGCUGUUCGCCAUUUAAAGUGGUACGCGAGCUGGGUUUAGAACGUCGUGAGACAGUUCGGUCCCUAUCUGCCGUGGGCGCUGGAAGACUGAGGGGGGCUGCUCCUAGUACGAGAGGACCGGAGUGGACGCAUCACUGGUGUUCGGGUUGUCAUGCCAAUGGCACUGCCCGGUAGCUAAAUGCGGAAAAGAUAAGUGCUGAAAGCAUCUAAGCACGAAACUUGCCCCGAGAUGAGUCUUCCCUGAGACUUUGAGUCUCCUGAAGGAACGUUAAAGACGAUGACGUUGAUAGGCCGGGUGUGUAAGCGCAGCGAUGCGUUGAGCUAACCGGUACUAAUGAACCGUGAGG